rnacentral:rRNA from 1 species
CACGUAGGAUCCGAGCGUUAUCCGAAUUUACUGGGCGUAAAGCGCGUGCAGGCGGUUUGGUAAGUUGGACGUGAAAUCUCCCGGCUCAACUGGGUGAGGUCGUUCAAGACUGCCAGACUAGAGGGCAGUAGAGGGAGGUGGAAUUCCCGGUGUAGUGGUGAAAUGCGUAGAUAUCGGGAGGAACACCAGUGGCGAAAGCGGCCUCCUGGGCUGCACCUGACGCUCAGACGCGAAAGCUAGGGGAGCGAACGGGAUUAGAUACCCCGGUAGUCCUAGCCGUAAACGAUGUGGACUUGGCGUCGGUGGGUUCAAAUCCGCCGGUGCCGUAGCUAACGCGCUAAGUCCACCGCCUGGGGACUACGGCCGCAAGGUUAAAACUCAAAGGAAUUGGCGGGGGCCCGCACAAGCAGCGGAGCGUGUGGUUUAAUUCGAUGCUACACGAGGAACCUUACCCGGGUUUGACAUGCAGGUAGUAGGGAACUGAAAGGGGACCGACCCUUCGGGGAGCCUGCACAGGUGCUGCAUGGCUGUCGUCAGCUCGUGUCGUGAGAUGUCCGGUUAAGUCCGGUAACGAGCGCAACCCCUGCUGGAUGUUACAAGUGUCAUCCAGGACUGCCGGUUUAGUGCCGGAGGAAGGCGGGGAUGACGUCAAGUCAGCAUGGCCUUUAUAUCCGGGGCUACACACACGCUACAAUGGCCAGUACAAUGGGUCGCAAAGCCGCAAGGUGGAGCCAAUCCCCAAAACUGGUCUCAGUUCAGAUUGCAGGCUGCAACUCGCCUGCAUGAAGUCGGAGUUGCUAGUAACCGCGCGUCAGCUAUAGUGCGGUGAAUACGUUCCCGGGCCU